rnacentral:rRNA from 1 species
UACGGGGGGAGCAAGCGUUGUUCGGAUUUACUGGGCGUAAAGGGCGCGUAGGCGGUCGUGACAAGUCACUUGUGAAAUCUCCGGGCUUAACUCGGAACGGUCAAGUGAUACUGUCGGACUAGAGUACAGAAGGGGCAACUGGAAUUCUCGGUGUAGCGGUGAAAUGCGUAGAUAUCGAGAGGAACACCUGCGGCGAAGGCGGGUUGCUGGGCUGACACUGACGCUGAUGCGACGAAAGCGGUGGGGAGCAAACAGG